rnacentral:rRNA from 1 species
UACGUAGGGGGCAAGCGUUGUCCGGAUUCAUUGGGCGUAAAGCGCGUGUAGGCGGUCCGGUAAGUCCGCUGUGAAAGUCGAGGGCUCAACCCUCGAAUGCCGGUGGAUACUGUCGGGCUUGAGUACGGGAGAGGCGAGUGGAAUUCCUGGUGUAGCGGUGAAAUGCGCAGAUAUCAGGAGGAACACCGAUUGCGAAGGCAGCUCGCUGGAACGUUACUGACGCUGAGACGCGAAAGCGUGGGGAGCAAACAGG